AACCGGAGGGGCCCCGGCCUCUGGGACGGAGCGGCGCCCCCGGGAACUCGCUGGAAACGCGAGUUCUCGGCCUUCGCCCAGACCCUCCGAAUCGAAACUCCUGCGGCGCGCGCUGCCAGCCCGAGGGCCCCGCCGUCCAGGGGUCCCCUGACAUCUCACACUUGCGGACUGAAGCUGCGAGGAGCGGAGAACCCGGCCAGGGUCACGGACGGGAGCGUCCGGACUCGGGUUCUCUGGGCCCCAGCCCCCACUCCGCCCCCAGCGAAUCCAAGGUCCCCUGUAGGGAAGGGCCGUCCACACUCCCCAUCCCUUACUGGCUGCAUCCACUGAAGCCCAGACCUGCUGCCUGCAGGACCUCACCCAGGCACCAGGUCGUGCCUGGCGCCUCCUUGAUGCCAGGCCCUGGGGAGACCUGUGGCCACAGAACCCAUGUUCUCCCUGGAGAUGGACAGGAGGCCCCUCUCCUACGCAGAAGCUGUCGUUUUUUCUUCUUAAACACCGUUUGCCCCUCCCUCCACCCACCGAGCCAUCUCUGC
rnacentral:lncRNA from 1 species